GGCUAGCCCAAGUGUGGUCAACAAAUUGAUCACAAUCAGUGGCAGAUUUCUUUGUUUCUUUUCUACUCCCAUUGCUUCACAUGACUAGCCUUAA
ensembl:Y_RNA Y_RNA Y RNA